rnacentral:tRNA from 12 species
UAGAUAGCUCAGUUGGUAGAGCGUUGGCCUGCCGAGCCAAAGGUCGGGGAUGGAAU